rnacentral:rRNA from 1 species
GACGAACGCUGGCGGCGUGCUUAACACAUGCAAGUCGAACGGUAAGGCCCUUCGGGGUACACGAGUGGCGAACGGGUGAGUAACACGUGGGUGAUCUGCCCUGCACUUCGGGAUAAGCCUGGGAAACUGGGUCUAAUACCGGAUAGGACUCCUGGCUUCAUGGUUGGGGGUGUAAAGCUUUUGCGGUGUGGGGAUGGGGCCCGCGGCCUAUCAGCUUGUUGGUGGGGUAAUGGCCUACCAAGGCGACGACGGGUAGCCGGCCUGAGAGGGUGACCGGCCACACUGGGACUGAGAUACGGCCCAGACUCCUACGGGAGGCAGCAGUGGGGAAUCUUGCGCAAUGGGCGAAAGCCUGACGCAGCCAUGCCGCGUGGAUGAUGAAGGUCUUAGGAUUGUUAAAAAUCCUUUCACCGGUGAAGGAUAAUGACUGUAGCCGGAGAAGGAAGACCCCGGCUAACUUCGUGCCAGCAGCCGCGGUAAU